ACAUAGCUUCUUGCACUUUUAAGAAGUUUUGUCUGCCCGGUGUAGUAAUAUUAACGGCCGCGUAAGUGCUAAGGUAGCAUAAUAAUUUGUCUUUUUAUUGGAGACUAGUAUGAAUGGCAUAACGAAGCUUAACUUUUUUAAUAAAUAAAAAUAAAUUAAUUUUAAUGUGAAAAAUCUUUAAUAUUUAUGAAGGACGAAAAGACCCUAUAGAGUUUAAGUAAAUUACUUUUAUUGGGGCAAUAUAAGAAUAAAAAAUCUUAUAAAAAUUAAACCUCAAAGAGAUUAAAAAAUAAACUACCUUAGGGAUAACAGCGUAAUCUUAUCUGAGAGACCUAAUCGAAGAUUAGGGUUGCGACCUCGAUGUUGGACUAAGGAAACAAAUAUAUGUAGAAGUAUAUAAGUGUUCGCCUGUUCGGCGAUUAAAUCCUUA
rnacentral:rRNA from 1 species